rfam:Gossypium raimondii chromosome 11, whole genome shotgun sequence.
AGUUGUGCGGUGAGCACAAAGCGAACUAUUCUUUCGCCUUUUACUAAAGAAUACUGUGUGUCGUCGCCCAUAGUGGCAUACCCUUAUUUUUGGAGGCGUAAUUCCUUUUCU